rnacentral:rRNA from 1 species
AAAGGGAAACAGCCCAGACCACCAGCUAAGGUCCCAAAAUAUAUGUUAAGUGGAAAAGGAUGUGGGGUUGCACAGACAACUAGGAUGUUAGCUUAGAAGCAGCUAUUCAUUCAAAGAGUGCGUAAUAGCUCACUAGUCGAGUGACCCUGCGCCGAAAAUGUACCGGGGCUAAAACAUAUUACCGAAGCUGUGGAUACCUUUUAGGUAUGGUAGGAGAGCGUUCUAUGUGUGAAGAAGGUGUACCGUGAGGAGCGCUGGAACGCAUAGAAGUGAGAAUGCCGGUAUGAGUAGCGAAAGACAGGUGAGAAUCCUGUCCACCGUAAGACUAAGGUUUCCAGGGGAAGGCUCGUCCUCCCUGGGUUAGUCGGGACCUAAGGAGAGACCGAAAGGUGUAUCCGAUGGACAACAGGUUGAUAUUCCUGUACUAGAGUAUAUAGUGAUGGAGGGACGCAGUAGGCUAACUAAAGCGUG